UUGCGUAAAAUAUUAAUUCAUUUAUUGUUUAUUCCCUCAAAAUUUUAACAAUAAUGGAAUUCCCACUCAUAAAAUAUGCCAUAAGAAUACAUCCAUCAUGCAUUUGUUCACGUGGAUAAUACACCAGGAAAAAUUCCCAGGAAGAUGGUGGAGAUUAAAAAUCCCUCUCAGUAUCAAAGUUCCUUAGACUCAUGACCUUUUGUCAAAAUUUUCCUAGACAUGCAAUUUAUCCAUAUUACUACGCCAGGAUUAUUCUCAUUUAUUUUUCAAGUAGUUUUGUUAUGCUCCCACUGAAGCACAACUCUCUCAACGAUGUAUCAUCAUAUGCAAAAAAUAUUUUUUCAUAUUUUUAAUACUUACAUAAAGUAUUAUUAUCUAAUUUUAAAGUAUUUAUUUGACUAAAAUUGAAAUUAAAUAUAUAAAAAUGUUAUAAAUUAAUUUUUAAAUCACAGAAAAUAGAGAAUAAAAUAUUGAAAUGGUCUCCGCAAACGGCGCCUCAAAAUUCAAUCGGGAAGGUGGCGCGUGAAUUACACUCUCCACAGUAAAAUAGAGAAUAAAAUAUUGAAAUGGUCUCCGCAAAUGGCGUCUCUGCAAAUCACUGUUCAUCUUCUUCAACCUCACUUAUUUUCCAGAUUUCGAACUAGAAAUUUAAAUGCUCCGUUCUCUCUCAAUACACGUCGGAAGUUUGUAUGUGAUAUACCAUUGGAAAUAUUUUUUCAUGCUCUUUCUAAUGAUACUAAUUUUAUAUUCAUAUGUUAUGUAUCAUAAAAUAUAUGAGUAAAAUAAACCUACGGGUUCAUAUCCUAGGUUUUCAUUUUACUCAUUACAUGGAUCAAAUUAAUCCUCAUGGCAACUAGGAAUUAAUCUGUGCACCUUAAUAUGUUUGUUAAUCCAGUUGCAUGGAAUAAAAAAUAAGUAAAUUAUUACAUGCCAUUAAUAUGUGUUCUUGAUGGAAAAAUUAACUUUCUUAAAGAACAUUCUUGGGUAUCAUGCUUUGCAUGCUUAAAUAAGAACACAACCUAUUUAGCUCUGAUCCCAAUGUUGAUUUUUGAUCAAGAAUCAACAUAAAAACUUGUAAAUCUGAAUUCAAACACAUACCUAGAUUAUAUGCAGAAAACCGAUAAACCAAGGUUGUGCUACUGAUUUGUGGUCAGAGAAUGAUCACAAAGUCGGAAAAUCCUCUCAAUUCACGUUGUAAGAACCCUAUAAACUUCUCUUGACUUGAAUUUUCUCUAAACUGCACUUUUGCUUAUUCUUUGCUUUACUUCGCUUAACUUGUUUUCUCUAUGGAUUUGCCCUCUGUUUAUAGCAUUCCAUGGGUAGUGAUCAUCUUCUCAAUGAUCACUAAAUAAGUUUAAACAAUUGUUGGAGUGAUCAUCUUCUUAAUGAUCACUUAAUAUUUUUCAAUAAAAUAUUGUAAGAUAUUAUAGAGUUCUAACUCAAAAUGAUCACUUGCUCUUGGUCAUGCAUCCCUCAUGGGUUACCUCAAAGUGAUAGAACUCUAUAUAUGAAUAUAUAUUUACGUAUAUAUUUCCAACAAAACUUGUAAUGUAAAAUAAAAUCAUAAAACGGUAAGAAAGCAGAUUAAUAAAAGGUCUAUAGCAAGAAAGAAUGAAACAACCCACAUUGUCUUAUAGUCUUACGAAUGAGUAUUACAAAGCUUGAUAAAAUUUUUUAGUGGGAACUUUUGUUGAAUUUCUCCAAAAUCUCCUCUUUAAUUUCUUACUAAUUCACAAAAUCUGUACCUCCAAAAUAUUCUAUUUUAAAAUGCUGAGACGAACCUAGGCAUUUGAUUUAAGGGGGUUUAGUAUGAAUUUUACAGAAAAAAGUCAAUGAAUUUUGCACAAAAAAGGUCAACAAAUAACUAUUGUGGGAAAAGAGCAAAUUGAGAAGGAUAAACAACGUUGGGAUUAUUCCAUGGAUUGUGGAAGGGCUGGUAAGAUUUUGUAAGUGGGUAAGGAAUAUUUCAUCUAUUGAGCUAGCUUUUAGUUCUAAGAGAGGCCUAAGACCAUCUAGCACUGGUAUUAGAGCCUCGAUUCCAUAACAGCCUAAUAGGAAGAACAUGUGUCUAUACUUGUGACUCAAGGCUUGAUGUGUAAGGGAGAUAUUAUUGAAGUUAUCCCUCAUCGGUUGUGGAAUAUGCUGGUGGUGACUUUAUAUGUGUGGUGGAAAGCACCCAAUACCACAUAAUAAAUGUAUAGGAAUAAAACUGAUUGCUUCUUUAUAUGAAGCCAAAACAGUAAGUUUUAGUAGUCUAUUUACCAAAUAUAAUUUGGGCUUAGAUAAGAUAUAACUUUUUGAACAAAAAGUAGUGAUAUUUUAAUAUCUCUUACCAGCCCCACUUUUUCAAUUAAUGUCACUUAUUCCCACAAUUUCCUUGUUAAAUAAAAAUACUUAAAAAAAUUCUAGAAAUCCUAGCCAGCUUCCACCACCACUGUCACCAUUUCAAGUCAAACGCACCUCUAGCCCUUAGUCAUUAAUUGAUCCUAAAUUAAAUUCUUCAAUAGCUACUGACUAAAACCCCUUAUUUACUUGAAUUGAUUUUAGUGAUAUUCAUAUGAUAGUAUCAAAAUCAAAAUAGUAUCAAACAAAAAGAGGCAAAAUAUUAUUUUUAUAUAGGAAUCAAGAAAUUAUAAAUUAAUUGGAAUGAAUGAUAAGUAAUGAAAAUGGGUUAGAAAUAAACUGGCUGAGAUUGGAAUGAAUGACAAAGAAUAAUGGCUUAAGGUAGUGAUAAUAGCAGUGAAAGAUGGCUCGGCUUUUUGAAAUUUUUUUUAAUUUUAAUUUUAUCUUUUAAUAAGGAUAAUUUUAGAAAUAAGCGAUGUUAAAUGAAUAGUGGGGGUGAUAAGAGAAGUUGAGGAGGUCAAAUAUGAGCAUUUUAAAAAAAAAUUGGUGUAAUAAAAAAGAUUUUGAAGGCCUAUAAUUGGUUUACAAUAAAAUUUCUCUAUAAUGAUACUAUACUAUAUAUGAGAAUAACCUCUAUAUAGGCAUAAAAAAUUUCGAACGAAAUUUGAACUAGUUUUAAAUAAGAAUAAGCUCCAUAUUAUAACAAGUUAUAAAUUUUCAAGAUCUUGUCUUAAGGAACAUACCUCCACAUAAUAAUAAUUAUUUGUAGAUUUAAAAAAAUAUCUAUUAUGUUACAGUAAUGUUUGAAGAUAGAAUAAUUUUUUUUUGUAAAUUGUUUGGGAUAAUUAUUUAUUCUUUAGACUUUUAAGUUAAUUCCGCAUAUUCUCAAAAAAAGGUGGCUAACCUCAGUGAAACCUGGGUUCAGGCUCCGAUUGAAUUAAUUAUCUAGUUAAAAGUAAUUACCAAGUAAAAGAAAACAAAAAUUGAAAUAUGGUUAGGGUAAAAGUCUCCUCCACUACAAGAUCCUUAAAUGAAAUACUAGAUUGCAAUACUAUAGACUAUAAAGAUUUAGGUAACUAGUUUUUAAAUUAUGUCUAUUAUUAGUAAUAUCAAUACAUUAGAUUUGAAAUCAAUUAUCAGUUUAGCUUAUAUUACACCUUUAUAUCACUUGCACUAAAGGAUAACUAAGUCAAAAGGCUCAAAUCAAUAAUUUUAAAACUAAGCCUUUAUUUAAGUAAUAACCUCCUCAUAGUAAUAAAAUUAUCUUAAUGCUAAUAUUAUGACUAUAUAAAGGUUACUGUUACAUUUGAUGUCACCAUUAAUGUAAUUUUAUAGAGAAUUUCCACCCUACAAUUUGGUGUAAAUCUACCCUAAUUCAAAAAAUAAUUUAUAAAAAAUUCACAUCAUUUUUUAAAAUUUAAAGUAAAUAAAAAGUUUAAACAAUUAAUCAAUUAUAUCAUUUUCUUCAAAUACGUUUGUUGACCAUUUUAGAUCACUAACAUUGUUUUAACAUAACUAGUCCGACUAUUGAAGGGGCUAAAAUCUUUACCUUCACACGAACUUGUAGUUAUGGAGAACUUGACGAUGUUGGCGAGUACUUACAAAGGGCACUUUGACGCCCAAGUUAGUAUUUGUCUAGGGCCAAAUAAGAAGAAAGAAGAAGAAAAAAUUGAGAGAAGAUAAGUUUUUCCUUUGAAGUGGACAAUAUCCUUGUAAUGGCCAAAGGCUCCUUCUCUUAAGAUGGGCCUCUAUCUAUAGAAAACACAUGACAUGGAAGUAGGGUUUUAUUCUAAAUCCUAGAUUGAAAGUGUAUUUAUUUGGGGGAAUUUGUAUGUUAUUCCGUGCAUGUGCUUUUUCCGUCUUUCGCUUUUUCCUUCGAUCAUGGUUUACUUAGUGAUAAGUGUGGAACCAUAUUGAACCUAGGUCCCUCUUCUAAUCUUAUUUUCCUUUAUAAUUUACUUAGGAGAUCUAUUCUGAAUGUUGUUCUUGCUCAAAAUGAUCAUUCCUGAGUUGUUUUAGAUAGACACGUGGCAAGACGUGAUCCCUAGGGAAUUGGGUACCUAUACAACUCCCCCUUUAUGUGCAUUUUCUUUAGAAAAUACUUUCGCUAGGAUAAGAAGUUCUAACUUUUGUUUGAUUGGCCAUGUGACCUUUUUUAAAAAAAAAGUAACUAUGCUUUAGUGUUCGAAUAUAUUUCGGGAGGAUUAUUAUCAGUGAAAGUUUCCUCUCCGUUGACUUAGGGAAAUAUGAACUACAUUCUCUAAACUAAAGUUCAAAGAUGAAAUGUUAUUUCUUUGAAUUUUUCCUUUGAAUUAAAAUUUCAGGAGGAAAUGGUAAUUAUUAUUUGAAAUUUUCCCUUGAAUUGAACUUCCACGAGAAAAAUGAAUUAUUCUUUAAAUCAAUGGAACUGAUUCAUCUGAACUAAAGUUCCAGAAGGAAUUGCGUAUUGUUCUUCGAAUCAAUGUAAUCGAUUCCACUGAAAUUUUCUUCUAAACUAAAGUUCUAAGGGAGAGUGUUAGUUUUUGAAUUCUUUCUUUGAACUGAAGCUCUAGGAGGAAAUCUUAGUUUCCUAAACUUUUUUUCCUGAACUGAAGUUCUAAGAGAAAACACAAAUUUUCCUUAGAUAGUCUGAUUGGUCCGGGCAUAGUUUAUGGAAUUUUUGUUUGAAUUCUAGAAUUUUGGCAAGUAUAAAUUUUUUGCCUUGACUUAGCUUGACUUGUUUUGUUUUACCUUGUACAAGGUUAUGCUUUCCUUGGUUUGGCUUGCUCUUGUUGGCUCUAGCUUUUGCUUUUCUUGAUUUUUCCUAAGUUUUUCUAUACUAGCUUGCCAUUGGCCUCUUCUUGGUUUAGCUUGUUCUUAUGGUCUUGUCUUUUUUUUUUUUUUUGGUGGCUUUGCCUUGAUUUUUCCUUAGUCAUCGUUUGCAUUGCUUGACAUUGGCCUUUUCUUACCUUGGCUUGCUCCUGUAGCCUUAGCUUUUGUUUUCUUUGAUUUUUCCUUAGCUUUUGUUUGCAUUGCUUGGCAUUGGCCUUGGCUUGCCUUGAGUGCCUUUAAAGUGUUUGGAUGGUUGUUGCCUUGAAGAUCUCGAGUAAGCCAAUGGAUAUAGCUUUUAAUUCAGGAGGUCUUUUAUUUUGGACUUAGCUUUCAGUUCUAGAGGUAGCUUUUCCUUCCUUAUGGAUUUAACUUUUGGUUUCUUUUGAGUUUAGCUUUUGGUUUUGAAUGUCUACUCCUAUUCUGGGUGUAUCCAUUUUUAAGUUUAGAUUUUUUAUGUUUGAACACAUAGGUAGGUUCCCUUUCGUACUUGUAGUAUUACGGUUAUAAUGAUUUGUGAUUAGAAUUUCAAUCAUCUAAGAGCUUUGCUUGUGAAAUUUUUCCUUAUAAAAUGAGGUUGCUCCGACCUUAGAUAUUAUCAUUUAGAAAUAUUGCUAGUGGAAGUUUACUUAUGGAAUGUGGGUAGCCUUAGAUUUUAGAUAUACCAAAUAUUUAAUUAUGGGAUAUUACUCCCUCUUCAGAUGAGUAAUAAUUAGGCUAUUGUUGCAAUUGUUUAAAGAUAACUAUUUUCCAAACUAAAGUUCCAUGAGAAAUGGACAUAAUCUUGAAUCAAUAUAUGAAAGGAAUGAUCCAAAGAUGAACUUUAUUUAGGAACUUUUCCAAUUGAGUUGAUCUAAGGAAGUGAACUCUAAACUUUUCUCAGAAUUGAAGAGAAUGAAAUAUAAGUUUCCCUUUGAAUUGAUAGAAUCAAAUCAACUUAACUUUCCUAUAAAACUAAAAGUUCUAAGAGGAAAUGCUAACUAUUCUUUGAAUUUUUUCUUGGAAAUGAUGUUCCCAGAGAAAAUGAAAUUGCUCUUCGAAUUAGCAGAAUUGAUUCUAUAGAAUUUUCCUCUGAAUUGAACCAUAUCAGGAAGGGUUAUCUGUUCUUUGAAUUUUUUCUCUGAACUAAAGUUCUUAUGAGGAAAUGUUAGUUGUUCUUUGAACAUUUUCCUCAAAACCGAAGUUCCAAAAGGAAAUGAGAAUUGGUCUUUAAAUCAACAGAAUCGAUUCGACUCAACAUUUGAAUGAUAAUUGCUUUUCAAACUUCUUAUCUUGAAUUGAAGUUCGGCCAAACCCUAACUUGCUAUGUUGGGCGACCAGGUUAGCAUCACUAAUGUUUGGUGGAGCACCUACAUUUUGGUGCAUUCUUCUUUCUUUCCUUAGUCUUUCAUUCCAUCAUAUUCCUAAUAACUUAUCCUAUUAUAAAGUAAACUAAAUAUGAGUUGUUCUUUGAAAUGUUGAAUCGUUUCCCUUUGACUUUUCCUUUGAACUGAAGUUCUAAGCAGAAGUGUUGGUUGUUUUUUAAACUUUUCCUUUAAAUUGAAGUUCUAUGAGCAAACAUGAAUUGUUGUUUAAAUUGAUGGAGUCGAUUCUACUUAACAUUUCCCAUAAACUAAAGACCUACGUGGAAAUGUGAAUUGGUGAACUUUUUGUACAUGUUAACUUAAGAAAAAAGUGAACGAUUUUUCGAUCAAAGUUCUAGGAGAAUUUGAAUUGUUUUCUGAAUCAAUUUUUAAAAGAAUGAUUUUGAAGGAAUAUUAUUAGAUAACAUUUUCUCUUUAUUAACGUAGAGAAAACUGAACUAUUGUUGUUGAUUUUAACUCAAUUGCUAUUGGUGUCAAUGUACAAGUGUACACAACAAGUAAUAAAGUGAUGAGUAAUCAAGAUCGUCUCCACAUAGAUUGAUGCCACUAAAGUUGCUACAACAAUCUCAACAAUGCAAUCUCUUUUCUAAAUCAACUAAAGAGGAUUAAAAAGAUCAAUUAACUCAUAAAAAUAACAACUCGUCAACAUAAAAUGCAAGAACAAUAAAAAAAAAUUUUCACGUUAAACACAAAGUUGAAUCAAUGAACAUGUGGUAAUUGAGUGAUCAAACUCUCUUAAUGGGGUUGACCGUUUAGUUCAUAUCAAGUUCAGUUGCUAUAGCAUAUGCUACAACACUGGAUAGAAUUCUCAUUCAUCCUCAGUUGUAGCAUGUUGGACAUCUCAUACAUUUAUGCAUGACAUGACUUAAAAUUGUUUGAUUUACUCUCAAGUAUAAAGUGCCUAGUUAUAAUAUAUCUCGGUGAGUCCGAGGUCGAUCCACAGAGAAAGAAUUUAAUUUGUUUACUUAAGUUUAUCCAAACAAA
rnacentral:lncRNA from 1 species